rnacentral:rRNA from 1 species
UGGGAACCUUCCCUAUGGUUCGGAAUAGCUCAGGGAAACUUGGGGUAAUACCGGAUAAGCCCUUCGGGGAAAGAUUUAUCGCCAUUGGAUGGGUCCGCGUCGGAUUAGCUAGUUGGUGAGGUAACGGCUCACCAAGGCAACGAUCCGUAGCUGGUCUGAGAGGAUGAUCAGCCACACUGGGACUGAGAUACGGUCCAGACUCCUACGGGAGGCAG